UAGGAUUCGCGGUGCGCUGGUUCGCCAUGAUGGCUAGGGAAUACGGUGAAAAUCCGUAACUGACGCGCAGCGGUAAUAGAGAACGAAAGCACACGGAUGUAAUGCCAAACACUGUUUUGAUUUGGGGGGAGCCUAAAUCAAAAUGGGAAGUUGUUGCCGUAGGUGGCGUCAAAGCCGAGCUCUUAAGUCCGAAUACCAACCAGUGCUACAAGCAUCCU
rnacentral:ncRNA from 1 species